CCGCUUGAUUAUGAUGAAGUAGUCUUGCAUAUUCUGGAAGGUUUUGAUGCAGAUUACAAUCCCUUCAUUUCUCCCAUAUCCAUGCGUCUGGAUCAAUGAGUCGUCCUGAAUGAGCUCUACUCCCUCCCGCACUCGGUCGAGG
rfam:Hordeum vulgare subsp. vulgare, WGS project CAJW01000000 data, contig: morex_contig_276444